CUACCUGAAUUAGAAAAGGCCGUAAGUUGCUAGGGAACUACUAGUCAGGCAAGGUUUGGCUCUUUAGAAAAGGCCGUAAUUAUGUCUAUGGAGCAACUGAGAUAAUUCAGAAUUGACAUUAAAGUGGUAAGGAGCUUUGAUUUUGAAAGAGAAGAAGAAAAAUUCUAGCAAUCACGUCGGUCAAUGAAGAUAAAAGUUUCAGACUUGAUA
rnacentral:lncRNA from 1 species